UACGUAGGGGGCUAGCGUUGUCCGGAAUCAUUGGGCGUAAAGAGCGUGUAGGCGGCUUGGUAAGUCCGCUGUGAAAGUCCAGGGCUCAACCCUGGAAUGCCAGUGGAAACUGUCAAGCUAGAGUCCGGAAGAGGCGAGUGGAAUUCCUGGUGUAGCGGUGAAAUGCGCAGAUAUCAGGAGGAGCACCAAUGGCGAAGGCAGCUCGCUGGGACGGUACUGACGCUGAGACGCGAAAGCGUGGGGAGCAAACAGG
rnacentral:rRNA from 1 species